rnacentral:pre_miRNA from 1 species
UAAGUACUCCCUCCGUUCGGAAUUACUUGUCUCGAAAAUGGAUGUAUCUAGAACUAAAAUACAUCUAGAUACAUCCAUUUCUGUGACAAGUAAUUCCGAACGGAGGGAGUAUUAU